rnacentral:lncRNA from 1 species
GAAUGGAUGGCAUGCCUUUCAUCCUGAGGCUCUUAAAGGCCUGAAUCCUCCCAGGUUUUCUAUUUUAGAACCUGCUGGGGCGACAAGAGCCUGGGAGGCAGGGGCAGAGCGAAAGGAAGUUAUGGAGCAUAUCCUGAGGAGGGGAACAGAGAUAAAGAAGUUUUGAAAUCCCACCCUGUGAGGACAGGCAAAACGAGGUGUGGUCCUUUAUGCUUGAGAAGAGAGGGUGUGGUGGGGAGGAAGGGGGUGCCUGACAGUGUGGUCGAGCAUCUAAAAGGUCACCCUGCAGAAGGGGGUCAGAAAUGCCCUGGAUGGCCCUGGAGGGCAGGACGAGCAUCAGUGGGGGGGACGUUCCAAAGAGGCUGA